rnacentral:rRNA from 1 species
AUUGAACGCUGGCGGAAUGCUUUACACAUGCAAGUCGAACGGUAGAGGGGGCAACCCCUCGAGAGUGGCGAACGGGUGAGUAAUAUAUCGGAACGUGCCCAGUCGUGGGGGAUAACGUAGCGAAAGUUACGCUAAUACCGCAUACGAUCUAAGGAUGAAAGCGGGGGAUCGCAAGACCUCGCGCGAUUGGAGCGGCGGAUAUCAGAUUAGGUAGUUGGUGGGGAAAAGGCUCACCAAGCCAACGAUCUGUAGCGGGUCUGAGAGGACGACCAGCCACACUGGAACUGAGACACGGUCCAGACUCCUACGGGAGGCAGCAGUGGGGAAUUUUGGACAAUGGACGCAAGUCUGAUCCAGCCAUUCCGCGUGCAGGAUGAAGGCCCUCGGGUUGUAAACUGCUUUUGUACGGAACGAAAAGGUCUCUCUUAAUACGGGGGACUCAUGACGGUACCGUAAGAAUAAGCACCGGCUAACUACGUGCCAGCCGCCGCAGUAACAC